CGGAGCUCCGCAGUUUAUUUGACCAAGCACGGACUAUAAAAAUGCGGAGGCUAAAGAAAACACAUGACAUGACCGAGCUGAACCAAAAGUGAGACAGUAUAAUGAAAAUGCUGAGUUGUGCUGCACUUUCCUGCAACAAUACCCACUUUUUAAGAGCUAUAAGCAAGACAUAGAUUCAAUCAAGUCAUAAGAGACUACAGAUCACGGGUGGCCUAUAUUAUACCUCAAAUGGUUAAAUGAGAUCUGCUGGAACAAUGUAAACGGUGGCAGUGCUGUGGCCCUCCAAGAUUUGGAGUAAACCAAGGGACAUCCUCCCAAAAGAGAUGGAGUCGACUCCUCAACUCCACGCAGAGAUUAAGCCGUCCUAAAUGUAGUUUACAGCACUGUCACAACUAAGACAUUUUCAUGACACAGUGCUAAGAUUGACUACGGCUGAUUUUUAAAUUCAUAUUGGACAAAAAGUGUAAAAGCCAAAAUUUGAUAACUCACAUAGAGUCCACUAUGGAGGUAGAGGUGAGCCACUUGAGGUUCAUCUUUAGGAUUUUCUGAAGUAUGAUCUUAUAGAUGUUUAAUAUUGCCCAUUAAUGAGCUGGUUUUAUUGCCACUUUCAGCACUUUACCUACUUGUUUUAUGUUAAAGAAUGUUAAAUAUUGCACUUAAAAGGUACUUGUACCCAUUACAUUGUUAACUUUGAAACAAGAAAUGACCAUUGGAGUUCUCUGCUUUUGCCACAAACAAAAUAAAAACUAAUUUUCAAAGUU